UACGUAGGGGGCAAGCGUUGUCCGGAAUCAUUGGGCGUAAAGAGCGUGUAGGCGGCCCGAUAAGUCCGCUGUGAAAGUCCAGGGCUCAACCCUGGAAUGCCGGUGGAUACUGUCGGGCUCGAAUCCGGAAGAGGUGAGUGGAAUUCCUAGUGUAGAGGUGAAAUUCGUAGAUAUGACAUAGAACACCAAUUGCGAAGGCAGCUGGCUACGCAUAUAUUGACACUGAGGCACGAAAGCGUGGGGAUCAAACAGG
rnacentral:rRNA from 1 species